rnacentral:rRNA from 1 species
AACGAACGCUGGCGGCAGGCUUAACACAUGCAAGUCGAGCGCCCCGCAAGGGUAGCGGCAGACGGGUGAGUACCGCGUGGGAACUUACCUUUUGGUUCGGAACAACUCCGGGAAACUGGAGCUAAUACCGGAUAAGCCCUAACGGGGAAAGAUUUAUCGCCGAAAGAUCGGGCCGCGUCUGAUUAGCUAGUUGGUGAGGUAACGGCUCACCAAGGCGACGAUCAGUAGCUGGUCUGAGAGGAGGAUCAGCCACACUGGGACUGAGACACGGCCCAGACUCCUACGGGAGGCAGCAGAGGGGAAUAUUGGACAAGGGGCGCAAGGCUGAUCCAGCCAGGCCGCGUGAGUGAUGAAGGCCUUAGGGUUGUAAAGCUCUUUUGUCCGGGAAGAUAAUGACGGUACCGGAAGAAUAAGCCCCGGCUAACUUCGUG